GAUGAACGCUGACAGAAUGCUUAACACAUGCAAGUCAACUUGAAUUUGGGUUUUUAACUUAGGUUUGGGUGGCGGACGGGUGAGUAACGCGUAAAGAACUUGCCUCACAGCUAGGGACAACAUUUGGAAACGAAUGCUAAUACCUAAUAUUAUGAUAAUAGGGCAUCCUAUAAUUGUGAAAGCUAUAAGCGCUGUGAGAGAGCUUUGCGUCCCAUUAGCUAGUUGGAGAGGUAACAGCUCACCAAGGCGAUGAUGGGUAGCCGGCCUGAGAGGGUGAUCGGCCACAAGGGGACUGAGACACGGCCCUUACUCCUACGGGAGGCAGCAGUGGGGAAUAUUGGACAAUGGACCAAGAGUCUGAUCCAGCAAUUCUGUGUGCAUGAUGAAGUUUUUCGGAAUGUAAAGUGCUUUCAGUUGGGAAGAAAAAAAUGACGGUACCAACAGAAGAAGUGACGGCUAAAUACGUGCCAGCAGCCGCGGUAAUACGUAUGUCACGAGCGUUAUCCGGAUUUAUUGGGCGUAAAGCGCGUCUAGGUGGUUAUGUAAGUCUGAUGUGAAAAUGCAGGGCUCAACUCUGUAUUGCGUUGGAAACUGUAUAACUAGAGUACUGGAGAGGUAAGCGGAACUACAAGUGUAGAGGUGAAAUUCGUAGAUAUUUGUAGGAAUGCCGAUGGGGAAGCCAGCUUACUGGACAGAUACUGACGCUGAAGCGCGAAAGCGUGGGUAGCAAACAGG
rnacentral:rRNA from 1 species